rnacentral:rRNA from 1 species
GACGAACGCUGGCGGCGUGCUUAACACAUGCAAGUCGAACGAAGAGCGAUGGAAGCUUUCUUCUAUCAAUCUUAGUGGCGAACGGGUGAGUAACGCGUAAUCAACCAGCCCUUCAGAGGGGGACAACAGUUGGAAACGACUGCUAAUACCGCAUACGAUCCAAUCUCGGCAUCGAGGAUGGAUGAAAGGUGGCCUCUAUUUAUAAGCUAUCACUGAAGGAGGGGAUUGCGUCUGAUUAGCUAGUUGGAGGGGUAACGGCCCACCAAGGCGACGAUCAGUAGCCGGUCUGAGAGGAUGAACGGCCACAUUGGGACUGAGACACGGCCAGACUCCUACGGGAGGCAGCAGUGGGGAGUCUUCCGCAAUGGACGAAAGUCUGACGGAGCAACGCCGCGUGAGUGAUGACGGCCUUCGGGUUGUAAAGCUCUGUUAAUCGGGACGAAAGGCCUUCUUGCGAAUAGUUAGAAGGAUUGACGGUACCGGAGUAGAAAGCCACGGCUAACUACGUGCCAGCAGCCGCGGUAAUACGUAGGUGGCAAGCGUUGUCCGGAAUUAUUGGGCGUAAAGCGCGCGCAGGCGGAUUGGUCAGUCUGUCUUAAAAGUUCGGGGCUUAACCCCGUGAUGGGAUGGAAACUGCCAAUCUAGAGUAUCGGAGAGGAAAGUGGUAUUCCUAGUGUAGCGGUGAAAUGCGUAGAUAUUAGGAAGAACACCAGUGGCGAAGGCGACUUUCUGGACGAAAACUGACGCUGGGGCGCGAAAGCCAGGGGAGCGAACGGGAUUAGAUACCCCGGUAGUCCUGGCCGU